rnacentral:rRNA from 1 species
UUGACCUCGGAUCAGGUAGGGAUACCCGCUGAACUUAAGCAUAUCAUAAAAACCGGGAGGAAA